rnacentral:rRNA from 1 species
UACAGAGGUCUCAAGCGUUGUUCGGAUUCAUUGGGCGUAAAGGGUGCGUAGGCGGCGCGGUAAGUCGGGUGUGAAAUCUCGGGGCUUAACUCCGAAACUGCAUUCGAUACUGCCGUGCUUGAGGACUGGAGAGGAGACUGGAAUUUACGGUGUAGCGGUGAAAUGCGUAGAUAUCGUAAGGAAGACCAGUGGCGAAGGCGGGUCGUCUGACAGUUCCUGACGCUGAGGCACGAAGGUCAGGGGAGCAAACGGG